rnacentral:rRNA from 1 species
AUUGAACGCUAGCGGGAUGCUUUACACAUGCAAGUCGAACGGCAGCGCGGACUUCGGUCUGGCGGCGAGUGGCGAACGGGUGAGUAAUAUAUCGGAACGUGCCCAGUAGCGGGGGAUAACUACGCGAAAGCGUGGCUAAUACCGCAUACGCCCUACGGGGGAAAGGGGGGGAGUUCUUCGGAACCUCUCACUAUUGGAGC